CCGUAUGUAGACACCUAGUGAAAUAUCUUAAAAGACUUAUAUUUAGGUACGGAGGGAGUACAUUGCAUGUCGGGGAAGCACAAUCCUAUUUCUUUACAUUCCGCCUUUCAUUUAAUACUUGAAACUGCAAAUGAAAUUUCAUGAAUGCCUUGUUCAAGAACAACUACGAUCAAUCCUUGAUAAAUGUGUAGGUACAUAUUCCAGAACGAUUAAUCCUUGUUCAAGAAGUGCUAGUUUAUUAAUCUACCUGAUUUCGAUGAGGGUUAUCUCACUUUUUUCUAUUCAAAUGCAUGCGAAUUUUAUAAAGCGUGUUUCUCUAAAUACAUGUUUACAGUUUUUAAUAUUCAUUUUCACUUCCUCAAAAUUAUCAAACAUUUCUUAAUAGCCAGGUUAAUUUGACAAUUUUUUUAAGAAGCUGCUAAAAUUAAUUUUAACUUUUAUGAAUAUUUCUCAUUAACAUUUCUGAAAUUCAAAAAAAACAAAAAAAUAUAUCUUUUAACAACCGAUUGCCAUUUUCUUCUGUAGGAGUUGCCAACAUGGAAAGCACACAUGGGCCAUCCCACACGCACAGUUAGGGCACACCUUCGCUAUCACAAAAGAAUUGGAUUUCUUUGUGUGUCACUUUUUAUGUAAAAGGUAGAAAUGCUUAUUCUUCACCGGUCGGAACAAAUUGUCCCUAAAACGUGGAUGGGCAGCAUAACGGCCAACCCAGCUAGAAUUGUUGUUCGGCCUGGGAGCAUAUGGUUCUAACAAUUUUUAUUACCUCCUUUUAUGUUUCAAUUAUUUCUCUACUUUUCUCGCUGGUUUCUUCUGUUUGUUCCUUUUCCAUGUUCUAUUUUCAAUUUCCUUGUUUUCUUACUUGACCAUUUUAAUACACAGUUUUUUUGUAAUUCACAAACAGUUUUUAAUCUGUUAUCAAUGUUUUCCAAAGACAAUAUUUUUCUAUAAAUCCUUAGGUUUUAAGAUUAUCAUGAAUAAAAUAAAAUAAUAGGAUUUUUUUGACAUAUCAAGAUUUUCUCUUAAAAUCGUUAAUAGUAUAAGAAAAUACGAAUACUUUCGUAAUGCAUGGAAAUUUUGAAUUUCGUAAAAUUUUCAAUUCUUGAAUAUUGUUUUAAUCCAUAUUUUUACCAUCAGCCAUGUUUAUCUUAAAAGUCGUUCGAAAAGAAAUAUCUGCUUGUGCAUGCCUUGGACCGGCUGGUGUGUUGCUGUUGAAGAUGCUGGAUCAGCCAUGUUUCUCUUCAAAAUCCGAAUGAUGUGCUCAGGUCCACGGGGCAACAGUACAACCGCGGGAUCCAUAUGCAUCGCCAGCCAAUCAGCCCGGACAGUCUAGGGAUGAAGCGAGGCUGCAGAUCACCCAUGAGAGCUAUGGUUCACUCAUACCGGCACAUUAGCACAGGUUGCUCGCUACUUGUCAUGCCGCUAUAAGUUCGCUCUCCUCUGGUAUUUUCUUUUGUUUUCUGUUUUAUUCUGUUUUUCAUUCGUUUUCAUCAGUUCUUAAAAAAGACACUCUUCGCUAUUAAUUGUUUGGUUUGUUUUUUAUGGGUUUCCGUCAAUAUUUCUUUCUUUAGUUGUUAUACUUUGUUUUUCUUGUUUCUUUCUUGGCCUUAUUCAUCUUCUUAGGUUUCACUACAGGAUUCGGGCAUUUUACCGUCAGGACGCUACAUACGGCAAAGAAAAAAUUACUAAUGGCAAAGAUUUUGCCGUCAGCGCCUAAUGGCAAACAGUGUCGACAUACACCAUACGGACAUAGGGUAAUUUUAUCGUCAGUCAUCGUUCAGCCAGAGACAAAGAUUUUACCGUCAAUAAAUAUGUUUUGCCGUCAGCUAGACCCUACACACAGCAAAAAAAGGUAACAUGCGAAACGGUCGGCCUAACGGAUGGCGUUACUUAUUUUUGCCAUCAACUCAGUUAUCCUACGAACUGCAAAGAGAAGCAUUUUUGUCAUCAGCCCCAUACAAUCUAGACGGCAAAAAAACGAAUUAUUAAAAAAUGAAACUAUAAUCCAGAUAUAGAGGUACACGGGUCGUAAAUGGUCAAAGGCAUGGGAAUUUUUUUCUCACUAUAAGAACAGCUAAUUACAAUGUUUAUCACAUGUAGAUCGUUUUCACCAUGAUAGCUAAUUACGAGGUAAUCCACAUGCAAGAUUACACAAUGAAAAGAAAAGCGGAAACAUAAGAGGCGUCAAGGCGUUCGUCCUCCUCCAUCGCCAGGAAGCAGAGCGGCGACUGCUGGGACAUGGAGCGGGGGUGGUUCUCAAAGUGUUUCGGUGGAGCUCCUGGUGGCCUUGUCGCACCCAGGGCCAUGCG
rnacentral:lncRNA from 1 species